rnacentral:rRNA from 1 species
AUUGAACGCUGGCGGCAGGCCUAACACAUGCAAGUCGAACGGUAACAGGAAACAGCUUGCUGUUUCGCUGACGAGUGGCGGACGGGUGAGUAAUGUCUGGGAAACUGCCUGAUGGAGGGGGAUAACUACUGGAAACGGUAGCUAAUACCGCAUAACGUCGCAAGACCAAAGAGGGGGACCUUCGGGCCUCUUUCCAUCAGAUGUGCCCAGAUGGGAUUAGCUAGUAGGUGGGGUAACGGCUCACCUAGGCGACGAUCCCUAGCUGGUCUGAGAGGAUGACCGGCCACACUGGAACUGAGACACGGUCCAGACUCCUACGGGAGGCAGCAGUGGGGAAUAUUGCACAAUGGGCGCAAGCCUGAUGCAGCCAUGCCGCGUGUAUGAAGAAGGCCUUCGGGUUGUAAAGUACUUUCAGCGGGGAGGAAGGGAGUAAAGUUAAUACCUUUGCUCAUUGACGUUACCCGCAGAAGAAGCACCGGCUAACUCCGUG